rnacentral:lncRNA from 1 species
UAAACAAGGGUGUAUCUAUAUUUAUAGAAGCUUUAAUUUUCGUGCUUAUCUUAAUUGUUGGUUUAGUUUAUGCAUGGCGAAAGGGGGCAUUGGAAUGGUCUUAGCUCCUGAAUAUUCAGACAAUAAAAAGAAAAGGGAAAAAAAGAUUGAAAAAGUUAUGAAUUCCAUUGAGUUUCCUUUACUUGAUCAAACAGUCCAAAAUUCAGUUAUUUCAACUACAUUAAAUGAUCUUUCAAAUUGGUCAAGGCAGAGGCCACU